rnacentral:rRNA from 1 species
GUAGGUGGCAAGCGUUGUCCGGAAUUAUUGGGCGUAAAGCGCGCGCAGGCGGUUCUUUAAGUCUGAUGUGAAAGCCCACGGCUCAACCGUGGAGGGUCAUUGGAAACUGGAGAACUUGAGUACAGAAGAGGAAAGCGGAAUUCCACGUGUAGCGGUGAAAUGCGUAGAGAUGUGGAGGAACACCAGUGGCGAAGGCGGCUUUCUGGUCUGUAACUGACGCUGAGGCGCGAAAGCGUGGGGAGCAAACAGGAUUAGAUACCCUGGUAGUCCACGCCGUAAACGAUGAGUGCUAAGUGUUAGGGGGGUUUCCGCCCAUUAGUGCUGCAGCUAACGCAUUAAGCACUCCGCCUGGGAGUACGGCCGCAAGGCUG